rnacentral:rRNA from 1 species
GUGACUGCGUACCUUUUGUAUAAUGGGUCAGCGACUUAUAUUCUGUAGCAAGGUUAACCGAAUAGGGGAGCCGGAGGGAAACCGAGUCUUAAUUGGGCGUUAAGUUGCAGGGUAUAGACCCGAAACCCGGUGAUCUAGCCAUGGGCAGGUUGAAGGUUGGGUAACACUAACUGGAGGACCGAACCGACUAAUGUUGAAAAAUUAGCGGAUGACCUGUGGCUGGGGGUGAAAGGCCAAUCAAACCGGGAGAUAGCUGGUUCUCCCCGAAAGCUAUUUAGGUAGCGCCUCGUGAAUUCAUCUCCGGGGGUAGAGCACUGUUUCGGCUAGGGGGCCAUCCCGGCUUACCAACCCGAUGCAAACUGCGAAUACCGGAGAAUGUUAUCACGGGAGACACACGGCGGGUGCUAACGUCCGUCGUGAAGAGGGAAACAACCCAGACCGCCAGCUAAGGUCCCAAAGUCAUGGUUAAGUGGGAAACGAUGUGGGAAGGCCCAGACAGCCAGGAUGUUGGCUUAGAAGCAGCCAUCAUUUAAAGAAAGCGUAAUAGCUCACUGGUCGAGUCGGCCUGCGCGGAAGAUGUAACGGGGCUAAACCAUGCACCGAAGCUGCGGCAGCGACGCUGAUGCGUUGUUGGGUAGGGGAGCGUUCUGUAAGCCUGUGAAGGUGGCCUGUGAGGGUUGCUGGAGGUAUCAGAAGUGCGAAUGCUGACAUAAGUAACGAUAAAGCGGGUGAAAAGCCCGCUCGCCGGAAGACCAAGGGUUCCUGUCCAACGUUAAUCGGGGCAGGGUGAGUCGACCCCUAAGGCGAGGCCGAAAGGCGUAGUCGAUGGGAAACGGGUUAAUAUUCCCGUACUUGGUGUUACUGCGAAGGGGGGACGGAGAAGGCUAUGUUGGCCGGGCGACGGUUGUCCCGGUUUAAGCGUGUAGGUGUGUGUUCCAGGUAAAUCCGGUUCACUUUAACACUGAGGCGUGAUGACGAGGCACUACGGUGCUGAAGCAACAAAUGCCCUGCUUCCAGGAAAAGCCUCUAAGCAUCAGGUAACAUCAAAUCGUACCCCAAACCGACACAGGUGGUCAGGUAGAGAAUACCAAGGCGCUUGAGAGAACUCGGGUGAAGGAACUAGGCAAAAUGGUGCCGUAACUUCGGGAGAAGGCACGCUGACACGUAGGUGAAGUGAUUUACUCAUGGAGCUGAAGUCAGUCGAAGAUACCAGCUGGCUGCAACUGUUUAUUAAAAACACAGCACUGUGCAAACACGAAAGUGGACGUAUACGGUGUGACGCCUGCCCGGUGCCGGAAGGUUAAUUGAUGGGGUCAGCGCAAGCGAAGCUCCUGAUCGAAGCCCCGGUAAACGGCGGCCGUAACUAUAACGGUCCUAAGGUAGCGAAAUUCCUUGUCGGGUAAGUUCCGACCUGCACGAAUGGCGUAAUGAUGGCCAGGCUGUCUCCACCCGAGACUCAGUGAAAUUGAACUCGCUGUGAAGAUGCAGUGUACCCGCGGCAAGACGGAAAGACCCCGUGAACCUUUACUAUAGCUUGACACUGAACAUUGAGCCUUGAUGUGUAGGAUAGGUGGGAGGCUUUGAAGUGUGGACGCCAGUCUGCAUGGAGCCGGCCUUGAAAUACCACCCUUUAAUGUUUGAUGUUCUAACGUGGACCCGUGAUCCGGGUUGCGGACAGUGUCUGGUGGGUAGUUUGACUGGGGCGGUCUCCUCCUAAAGAGUAACGGAGGAGCACGAAGGUUGGCUAAUCCUGGUCGGACAUCAGGAGGUUAGUGCAAUGGCAUAAGCCAGCUUGACUGCGAGCGUGACGGCGCGAGCAGGUGCGAAAGCAGGUCAUAGUGAUCCGGUGGUUCUGAAUGGAAGGGCCAUCGCUCAACGGAUAAAAGGUACUCCGGGGAUAACAGGCUGAUACCGCCCAAGAGUUCAUAUCGACGGCGGUGUUUGGCACCUCGAUGUCGGCUCAUCACAUCCUGGGGCUGAAGUAGGUCCCAAGGGUAUGGCUGUUCGCCAUUUAAAGUGGUACGCGAGCUGGGUUUAGAACGUCGUGAGACAGUUCGGUCCCUAUCUGCCGUGGGCGCUGGAGAACUGAGGGGGGCUGCUCCUAGUACGAGAGGACCGGAGUGGACGCAUCACUGGUGUUCGGGUUGUCAUGCCAAUGGCACUGCCCGGUAGCUAAAUGCGGAAGAGAUAAGUGCUGAAAGCAUCUAAGCACGAAACUUGCCCCGAGAUGAGUUCUCCCUGAGACUUUAGGUCUCCUGAAGGAACGUUGAAGACGACGACGUUGAUAGGCCGGGUGUGUAAGCGCAGCGAUGCGUUGAGCUAACCGGUACUAAUGAACCGUGAGGCUUAACCUUACAACGCCGAAG